UGGUGAUUUUAGCGAGGAGCCUACACACGAUCCCAUUCCGAACUCGACCGUUAAACUUCUCAGCGCUGAUGGUACUGCAUCUUAAGGUGUGGGAGAGUAAGUCGUCGCCAGGCCUAU
rnacentral:rRNA from 1 species